GACAGAGGUGCCAAGCGUUAGGCGGAAUCACUGGGCUUAAAGCGUGUGUAGGCGGAUCGUUAAGUACCUUGUGAAAUCCCACGGCUCAACCGUGGAACUGCUCGGUAUACUGGUUGUCUUGAGCCGUCUAGGGGCGAGUGGAACAAAUGGUGGAGCGGUGAAAUGCGUAGAUAUCAUUUGGAACGCCAAUGGUGAAAAACAACUCGCUGGGGACGUGCUGACGCUGAGACACGAAAGCCAGGGGAGCGAACGGG
rnacentral:rRNA from 1 species